AUUGAACGCUGGCGGUAGGCCUAACACAUGCAAGUCGAGCGAGCGGCGGACGGGUGAGUAAUGUCUGGGAAACUGCCUGAUGUAGGGGUAUAACUACUGGAACCGGUAGCUAAUACCGCAUACCAUCAGAUGUGCCCAGAUGGGAUUAGCUAGUGGGUGGGGUAAUGGCUCACCUAGGCGACGAUCCCUAGCUGGUCUGAGAGGAUGACCAGCCACACUGGAACUGAGACACGGUCCAGACUCCUACGGGAGGCAGCAGUGGGGAAUAUUGGACAAUGGGCGCAAGCCUGAUACAGCCAUGCCGCGUGUGUGAAGAAGGCCUUCGGGUUGUAAAGCACUGUCAGCGAGGAGGCGUUACUCGAAGAAGAAGCAACGGCUAACUCCGUGCCAGCAGCCGCGGUAAUUC
rnacentral:rRNA from 1 species